rnacentral:lncRNA from 1 species
UUCCUACACGUUCAAUGGAACUCAAAGAAAAUCAUUUGAUGGCAGAGGUAUGAAGGUAGUAACCAUGAAGUAAUGCAGCAACUUUAAACCUAACCAAAUUGCAUUGACCACUGAUGGUAACUUAAACACAGUAGAGAGGUAUUUUAGAACGUCAUUGUCUGUGAUAAAUUUUAAAGACGGUGACUAUGCCUAUCAUAAAUACACAGGUAUCGUUUACUUUUUGAAUUGGAGUGAAAAUCUUAGGAUUGGGAGUGUGUGUUGGAUCAUAAACUUGAUCCAAGAUGAAUAAAUCAAGCCCAACUCAUGGAAGGUUCCAUGAGUAGGUAUGGUUGGUGAGGUUUGAAUUAUUUGUGUUAGGUGUGUUAGGUGUGGUUGGUGAAGUUGGUGAGUGGUAGGUUUUAAUGGAUGGUGAGGAUUUGUUUAUUAGUUGAAUAAAUGAAUGGUUAUGAUUAGUUUGUUUCAUGUAUAAAUACCCCCUCUCCCCUUUGGUUUAAACAUCAAGUGAAGCAGCAAAAUCUCUAAGGUGUAGAGAGUGAAAAAUAAGAGUUGUAAUUGGUGAGGAGUGUUGUUGAAGAAAUAAAAUAGUGUGUUUUUUAUGUGUUUUAAUUGUUAAUCCUCCAACAAAGUGGUAUCAGAGCUAGUGCUUGAUGCUAUAUAUAGUCAUAUAGCAUAUCAAAUCGAAGAUCUCGACGAGAGGAACGUGACGCCGCAAAAUUCAUCCCGAUCUGAGACCGGACGCGCCCACACUUGCCGCCGGAAGUUUUCUGUCCUGAAGCUGAGUCGACUCACCGAGUUGAACCAAGCUGAGCCGAACUGAACCAAGCCGAGCCGAGCUGAACCGAAUCAAGUCGAACCGAGCCAACUCGAGCUGAACCAAUCCGGACCGAACCGAGACUACCAAGCCGGUGUUGACCGUUGACCAGCGUUGACCGUUGACCGAAAGUUGACUCAAGUCAUUCCCAAGGUUUUUCGACGUGCCGGAUCCAUCUGUGCAUUCAGAAUCUCCAAAUUCUCACUCAAUUAGUGAGUUAUGACAAACGGUGGUAUGAUGUCACUUCAAGUUCCACAAUUAAAGGGAAGUAAGUUUGACAAUUGGAGUAUUAAAAUGAAGGCUCUAUUGGGCGCACAUGACGUAUGGGAUGUCGUGGAGAAAGGCUUUAUUGUGCCAGAAAAUGAAGCCACUUUAACUGCGGCGCAGAAGGAGAAUUUAAAAGACUUGAAAAAGAAAGAGAAUAAAGUAAAGUAUCUCAUCUUUCAAUCAUUAGAUAAAGAUGCUUUUGAAAAGAUUGCUGGUACAACCUCCUCAAAAGAAGCAUGGGAGAAACUAGAGACCUCUUACAAAGGAGCGGAGCAAGUUAAGAAGGUUCGUCUCCAAACAUUACGAGGAGAAUUUGAGUCCUUACACAUGAAGGCAUCGGAGUCAAUUUCUGACUACUUUACUCGAGUUGUGACCGUUUCCAAUGAAUUAAAAAGAAAUGGCGAGGAGUUAAAAGAGGUAAGGAUCAUUGAAAAGAUACUUCGAUCAGUAGACUUGAAGUUUGAUCAUAUUGUUGUGACAAUUGAAGAAACAAGAGAUCUGGAGGAUAUGACGAUCGAGCAACUUCAAGGAAGGUUGUAAGCCUAUGAAGAAAAACAAAAAAAAGAAGCAAGGAAUCGAAGAACAACUUCUCAAGAUGGAAGUCAAUCCAAAGAAAAGAGAAGAAAGCUCCGACAACGAGAGAAGGCACUAUGUCCGAGGUAGAGGUCGAGGACGAGGUAGAGGUCGUGGUCAUGGACGAGGUUGGAAUUUCAACAACAACAACUCCAAUUAUGCCAAAGGAGAAAGCUCAACCAGAGGACGAGGCAGAGGCAAUUCAAGAUCGAGGUAUGACAAAUCCCAAGUACAGUGCUAUAAUUGUCAAAAGUUUGGGCAUUAUGCUUCAGAAUGCAGAGCUCCAAGCACCAGAAUUGAAGAGAGAGUGAACUAUGCUGAAGAGAAAAAUGGUGAAGAUGGCACACUUUUACUAGCACGCAAUGACACAAGUGGAGGUCAAGAAAAUACAUGGUAUCUUGACACAUGUGCUAGCAAUCAUAUGAGUGGAAACAGAAGCAUGUUCGUGCAACUAAGUGAAUUUGUGAAUGGUAGUGUCACUUUUGGAGAUGAUUCAAAAGUACCAGUGAAGGGUAGAGGUAACAUUCUUUUUCGUGCAAAAGAUGGUAGCCACCAAAUAAUUUCGAAUGUUUACUAUGUGCCCAAUAUGAAAAGCAACAUUCUUAGUUUAGGUCAACUUUUAGAAAAGGGCUAUGAUAUUCACUUAAAAGAUUAUAGUCUUUUUCAAAGAGAUGACAAAGGAAAUCUAAUUACAAAAGUGAGAAUGUCAAAGAAUAGAAUGUUUCCUUUAAAUAUUCAAAAUGAUGUUGCAAAAUGUCUCAAAGCCUGUCACAAAGAUCAAUCCUGGACUUGGCAUCUUCGAUAUGGGCAUCUCAACUUUGGAGGACUGGAGCUACUAUCUAAGAAGAACAUGGUGAAAGGCUUACCAUACAUCAAUCACCCUGAUCAACUUUGUGAAGGAUGUUUACUUGGCAAGCAGUUCAGAAAGAGCUUUCCAAAGGAGUCAAACUCAAGAGCUCAGAAGCCACUCGAGCUCAUUCAUACUGAUGUGUGCGGUCCAUUCAAGCCAAACUCCCUUGGUAAAAGUAACUACUUCCUUCUUUUUAUAGAUGAUUUUUCAAGAAAAACUUGGGUGUAUUUUUUGAAGCAAAAAUUAGAAGUCUUUGAAGCUUUCAAGAAGUUUAAAACUGCAGUUGAAAAAGAAAGUAGAUACCAGAUUAAAGCCAUGAGAUCUGAUCGAGGUGGAGAGUUCACUUCCAAAGAAUUUUUAGAGUUUUGUGAAGCAAAUGGAAUUCGACGCCCUUUGACAGUUCCAAGAUCCCCCCAACAAAAUGGUGUUGCAGAAAGGAAGAACAGAACCAUCCUCGACAUGGCAAGAAGCAUGCUUAAGAGUAAGAGGCUACCUAAAGAAUUUUGGGCUGAAGCAGUUGCAUGUGCAAUCUACUUAUCCAAUCGAUCUCCAACAAGAAGCGUGUGGGGCAAGACGCCACAAGAAGCUUGGAGUGAAAUAAAACCUGGCAUCACCCAUCUAAGAGUUUUCGAAAGCAUUGCCCAUGUACAUGUACCAGACGAAAGUAGAGCCAAGCUGGAUGACAAAAGUGAGCAGUUCAUCUUCAUCGGCUACGACAACAACUCCAAAGGAUACAAGCUUUACAAUCCAAACAACGGAAAGAUCGUGAUCAGUCGAGAUGUAAUUUUUGAUGAAGAAUGAGAAUGGGAUUUUGGCUCUGGUGUGGAUGACUUCAACUUCUUUCCCAUUGAAGAAGAUGAUCAUACACAGAUAAAACAAGUAGACGAACAACAAGAGCCUGCCACUCCACCUAUCUCACCAGCACCAACCACAUGCGGGAAUUCACCGCCGUCUUUCUUAAAUGAAAGAACAGAAGAACGUAUAAGGAGUCUUCAAGAUCUCUAUGAGGUAACUGAGAGACAUGAUAAUCUUACUCUCUUUUGCCUCUUUGCUGAUUGUGAGCCAGUCAACUUCCAAGAAGCUGCACUAGAUGAGAAGUGGAGAAUUGCAAUGGAUGAAGAAAUCAAAGCCAUUGUGAAGAAUGAUACUUGGGAGCUUACUACUCUUCCAAAAUGUCACAAGGCGAUUGGUGUCAAAUGGGUGUAUAAAACAAAAAGAAAUGCGAAGGGAGAAAUUGAAAGGCACAAGGCAAGGCUAGUUGCAAAAGGCUAUAGUCAAAAGGCUGGCAUAGACUAUGACGAGGUAUUUGCUCCUGUAGCUCGACUUGAAACUAUUAGACUUAUUAUUUCUUUGGCUGCUCAGAACAAGUGGAAGAUUUUUCAAAUGGAUGUGAAGUCUGCUUUCUUGAAUGGAUUCCUUAAAGAAGAAGUUUACAUCGAACAACCAUUAGGUUAUGUGGUGAAAGGACAUGAAGACAAAGUUUUGAGAUUGAAGAAAGCUCUUUACGGGUUAAAGCAAGCACCAAGGGCAUGGAAUAGCAGAAUUGACAAGUAUUUUCAAGAGAAAGGCUUCACCAAAUGCCCAUAUGAGCAUGCUCUCUACGUCAAAGAAAAGGAUGGAGAUAUUUUGAUUGUGUGCCUGUAUGUGGAUGAUCUCAUCUUCACUGGAAGUAAUCCAAGCUUGUUUGAAGAGUUCAAGAGAGUAAUGAUCAAAGAGUUCGAGAUGACUGACAUCGGACUGAUGGCAUAUUACCUCGGCAUUGAAGUCAAGCAAAAGGAAAAAGGCAUAUUUAUCUCCCAAGAAAGCUAUGCAAAGGAGAUUCUCAAGAAGUUCAAGAUGAAUGAUUGUAAGCCUAUAAGCACGCCAGUGGAAUGCAGAGUCAAGUUAUCCAAACAUGAUGAAUGCGAAGAUAUAGAUCCAACAUUCUUUAAAAGUUUGGUUGGAAGCCUACGUUAUUUGACAUGCACAAGACCAGAUAUCCUUUAUGCUGUUGGACUUGUGAGCCGAUACAUGGAGAAUCCAAAGACCACCCAUUUUAAAGCUGCAAAAAGAAUCCUUCGCUACAUCAAAGGUACAACUAAUUUCGGCUUGCUAUACUCAUUUUCUAAUGACUACAAGCUUGUUGGAUAUAGCGAUAGCGAUUGGGGAGGAGAUGUAGAUGAUCGAAAGAGCACCACGGGAUUUGUGUUCUUCAUGGGAGAUACUGCUUUCACAUGGAUGUCAAAGAAGUAACCAAUUGUCACGCUAUCCACCUGUGAAGCUGAAUAUGUAGCUGCCACAUCAAGUGUUUGUCAUGCAAUUUGGCUCAGAAAUUUGCUGAAGGAGUUGAGUUUGGUACAAGAAGAGCUAACCGAGAUUUGUGUUGAUAACAAAUCAGCAAUUGCCCUAUCCAAGAAUCCAGUCUUUCAUGAUCGAAGUAAACACAUUGACACUCGCUAUCAUUUCAUAAGAGAGUGUAUUGCAAGAAAAGAAGUGCAAAUCAAGUAUGUAAAAUCACAAGAUCAAGCAGCUGAUAUCUUCACUAAGCCACUCAAGCAAGAAGACUUUGUAAGAUUCAGAAGUUUGCUUGGUGUCACAGGAUCAAGUUUAAGGGGAGGUGUUGGAUCAUAAACUUGAUCCAAGAUGAAUAAAUCAAGCCCAACUCAUGGAAGGUUCCAUGAGUAGGUAUGGUUGGUGAGGUUUGAAUUAUUUGUGUUAGGUGUGUUAGGUGUGGUUGGUAAAGUUGGUGAGUGGUAGGUUUUAAUGGAUGGUGAGGAUUUGUUUAUUAGUUGAAUAAAUGAAUGGUUAUGAUUAGUUUGUUUCAUGUAUAAAUACCCCCUCUCCCCUUUGGUUUAAACAUCAAGUGAAGCAUCAAAAUCUCUAAGGUGUAGAGAGUAAAAAAUAAGAGUUGUAAUUGGUGAGGAGUGUUGUUGAAGAAAUAAAAUAGUGUGUUUUUUGUGUGUUUUAAUUGUUAAUCAUCCAACAGUGUGGAGUGGGAGUGUUUACUUGCACUGGAAUGGAAAUAUGGAAUGGAGAUCAAAAUCUAAUUUAUGUGUUUACUUUAUCUUGAAUUGAGAGUAAAUAGUUUUAAAUUAUAAUUUUAUCCUUAUGUAAAGAAUUAUAGUUUUUAAUUACAAAGUUAAUAAAAAAUAUAUUUAAUGAAUAAACAUUUAUUUUAUUAUAUUUGUAAAUUUAUA